UACAGAGGGUGCGAGCGUUAAUCGGAAUUACUGGGCGUAAAGCGCGCGUAGGCGGCUUUGCAAGUCGGGUGUGAAAUCCCCAGGCUUAACCUGGGAACUGCAUUCGAGACUGCAUUGCUAGAGUAUGGGAGAGGGAAGUGGAAUUUCCGGUGUAGCGGUGAAAUGCGUAGAUAUCGGAAGGAACAUCAGUGGCGAAAGCGACUUCCUGGACAAUUGCUGACGCUGAGGCACGAAAGCGUGGGGAGCAAAAGGG
rnacentral:rRNA from 1 species